rnacentral:rRNA from 1 species
UUUUAUUUGAGAGUUUGAUCCUGGCUCAGGAUGAACGCUGGCGGCGUGCCUAACACAUGCAAGUUGAGCGAUUUACUUCGGUAAAGAGCGGCGGACGGGUGAGUAACGCGUGGGUAACCUACCCUGUACACACGGAUAACAUACCGAAAGGUAUGCUAAUACGGGAUAAUAUAUUUGAGAGGCAUCUCUUGAAUAUCAAAGGUGAGCCAGUACAGGAUGGACCCGCGUCUGAUUAGCUAGUUGGUAAGGUAACGGCUUACCAAGGCGACGAUCAGUAGCCGCCCUGAGAGGGUGAUCGGCCACAUUGGAACUGAGACACGGUCCAAACUCCUACGGGAGGCAGCAGUGGGGAAUAUUGCACAAUGGGCGAAAGCCUGAUGCAGCAACGCCGCGUGAGUGAUGAAGGCCUUCGGGUCGUAAAACUCUGUCCUCAAGGAAGAUAAUGACGGUACUUGAGGAGGAAGCCCCGGCUAACUACGUGCCAGCAGCCGCGGUAAUACGUAGGGGGCUAGCGUUAUCCGGAUUUACUGGGCGUAAAGGGUGCGUAGGCGGUCUUUCAAGUCAGGAGUGAAAGGCUACGGCUCAACCGUAGUAAGCUCUUGAAACUGGG